UUAAUAUUUAAUAAAAUUUAAUAUAUUUAACAUGAGUAUAAUUAAAAAUUAUUAAAAAAAAUUAUUUUUUUAAUGUUUUUAAGAGUAAAUUAAUUAAAAUUUAUGGAAGAGUGUGAGUAGGAGAUAAAGAGAUAAACCGCUCAGCGCCUGGCGGGCCGCUCCAAAAUGCUGAUCUGUUCAAUAAUAAAUGGUUUCAUCGUGUAAUUCAUGUAAAAAAAUUUUAAAAAAACUUCGGUUGACGAAAAAAGACUACAAUGUUUUUUCUACAAUUAUGAUUAAAAGUUCAAUUUUGAACUAUAAAAUGCAUUGUAGUUGUAGUAAUUUUUUAAUUUAAUUCUAAUCGGAAAGUAUUAAUUUAAUUUUUUUAUUGUUUAUUUGAAAGUCAUAAGUAUUUACUUAAUUCUAUUUUAAUUCACGAUUAAUCACUUCCAGAACACCCGAUUAAACCACUAAAGUUAAGAUCACUCUUUAAUUUAAAGUUAAAAAGAAACCCAUGAUUAAUAUAAUUAGCCUUCGCUGUCUUUUUGCUCAAGCCGCUGCUCCUUCAAUAGCCUCUUCUCUUCCGACAUGUAACAGCCAGGUCUUUUUGAUGUUGGGUUCGCGUGAGUUGAAACAUCGUUUGGCUUUGCUUUUCCUCCUCAUCUCUAUGUUGCACUUUCUAUACUUUCUGUUGGUUUGGCCGUUGGUCUCGGCUUCUCAGACUAGCAAUCAUCCGGUGCUCACUUCUAUCUACGUGCCUCGCUCGAUCUUUUUCAUCAAUGAGGAUCAAAUUUUUUGCUGCGAUUUGGAUCUGUAUGAGUUUUUUAGAAUAUGUCCCUCUUCCAGAGCUUAGAAUCGAAUCAUAUACAUCUAAAGAAGAAAAGAUCUAUUAGCGAGAAAUCGAUCGGAUCUUCAACAAAUUAUUUGCAUAUAAUCUUGGAUACAUGUGUGAUCAACGGUGUGAUAACCUUGAAAUGGGUGGAGUUCUAAAACAAAGAAACUUGGUGUAUUGAUCGUAGCUUUCUCCGGUGAUCACUGCUUGCUGUUGCAUUAAAGAAAGGGUUUCUUUUUAGCUUUAUGUUAAAAGAGCGGUCUUAGUUUUAGUUAGAGAGUUUAAUUGGAGGUUGUGAGAAUGGUUAAUUAUGGGUUAGAGUAGGGUUAAGUAAGUGCUUAUAUGUCUUUUAAGUAAAUAAUAAAAAAAUUAAAUUAAUGUCUGACAUGUAGCUGAUUUCAUAUUAAAUUGAAGAAUUGCUACCAUUAAAACAAAAUUAAAAAUUAG